rnacentral:rRNA from 1 species
AGACCCGAAACCCGGUGAUCUAGCCAUGGGCAGGUUGAAGGUUGGGUAACACUAACUGGAGGACCGAACCGACUAAUGUUGAAAAAUUAGCGGAUGACCUGUGGCUGGGGGUGAAAGGCCAAUCAAACCGGGAGAUAGCUGGUUCUCCCCGAAAGCUAUUUAGGUAGCGCCUCGUGAAUUCAUCUCCGGGGGUAGAGCACUGUUUCGGCUAGGGGGCCAUCCCGGCUUACCAACCCGAUGCAAACUGCGAAUACCGGAGAAUGUUAUCACGGGAGACACACGGCGGGUGCUAACGUCCGUCGUGAAGAGGGAAACAACCCAGACCGCCAGCUAAGGUCCCAAAGUCAUGGUUAAGUGGGAAACGAUGUGGGAAGGCCCAGACAGCCAGGAUGUUGGCUUAGAAGCAGCCAUCAUUUAAAGAAAGCGUAAUAGCUCACUGGUCGAGUCGGCCUGCGCGGAAGAUGUAACGGGGCUAAACCAUGCACCGAAGCUGCGGCAGCGACACUCAGGUGUUGUUGGGUAGGGGAGCGUUCUGUAAGCCUGUGAAGGUGGCCUGUGAGGGUUGCUGGAGGUAUCAGAAGUGCGAAUGCUGACAUAAGUAACGAUAAAGCGGGUGAAAAGCCCGCUCGCCGGAAGACCAAGGGUUCCUGUCCAACGUUAAUCGG